UACGAAGGGUGCAAACGUUGCUCGGAAUUAUUGGGCGUAAAGCGCACGUAGGCGGCUUAGCAAGUCGGAAGUGAAAGCCCUCGGCUCAACCAAGGAAGUGCUUUCGAAACUGCUGAGCUUGAGUAGUUAAGAGGAUCGCGGAAUUCCCGGUGUAGAGGUGAAAUUCGUAGAUAUCAGGAAGAACAUCGGUGGCGAAGGCGCUCUGCUGGACCAUAACUGACACUCAGGGACGAAAGCUAGGGGAGCGAAUGGG
rnacentral:rRNA from 1 species